GUCACGGGAGGUGGGCCACGCCCCCUUUCGCCAUGACAAUAGGACAGACAGGAUACAGCUUCAGCUAUGGUUCGUACGUGAUGUGUUGGCAGUUGCAACGUUAGAUCACACGAUCAUGAAGGCAAGAAGCUGGAUAAUGGGCUCUCUUUACAUCGUUUUCCAUCCUGGAGGCAAUGUGAAGGAUCCCAUGUAUCCGAUAUUACUAAACAAAGACGUCAGGCUUGCAUUGCAGCGGUGAGACGAGCGGAUCGAGUUCUGUGCAAUACCCAGCUUUUUUUUGGUUUGGUCUCCACAUUUUCUUUCCGGCUUUUGUUAUGCAGCUGCAGAGUCUGAAGGUGUGCCGCGUGCAGAAGUGAUCGAUGAAGAUCUGACAGAAGACCAACAACAAAAUCACCAUGUCAUAGAGGCAGUGGACAGCAUUUGUGUUGGAUAAGUGGUGGUUGAAGUACCAGCUGCAAAUGUGGA